rnacentral:rRNA from 1 species
AUUGAACGCUGGCGGCAGGCUUAACACAUGCAAGUCGAGCGGGGUGAUGGUGCUUGCACUAUCACUUAGCGGCGGACGGGUGAGUAAUGCUUAGGAAUCUGCCUAUUAGUGGGGGACAACAUCUCGAAAGGGAUGCUAAUACCGCAUACGUCCUACGGGAGAAAGCAGGGGAUCACUUGUGACCUUGCGCUAAUAGAUGAGCCUAAGUCGGAUUAGCUAGUUGGUGGGGUAAAGGCCUACCAAGGCGACGAUCUGUAGCGGGUCUGAGAGGAUGAUCAGCCACACUGGGACUGAGACACGGCCCAGACGCCUACGGGAGGCAGCAGUGGGGAAUAUUGGACAAUGGGGGGAACCCUGAUCCAGCCAUGCCGCGUGUGUGAAGAAGGCCUUAUGGUUGUAAAGCACUUUAAGCGAGGAGGAGGCUCUUUUGGUUAAUACCCAAGAUGAGUGGACGUUACUCGCAGAAUAAGCACCGGCUAACUCUGUGCCAGCAGCCGCCGUAA